rnacentral:rRNA from 1 species
AACGAACGCUGGCGGCAGGCCUAACACAUGCAAGUCGAACGAGAAGUUACCUUCGGGUAAUGGACAGUGGCGCACGGGAGAGUAACACGUGGGAACCUACCUUUUGGUUUGGGAUAACGUCGGGAAACUGACGCUAAUACCAGAUAAGCCCUUUUGGGGAAAGAUUUAUCGCCGAUAGAUGGGCCCGCGUUGGAUUAGCUAGUUGGUAAGGUAAUGGCUUACCAAGGCUCCGAUCUAUAGCUGGUCUGAGAGGAUGACCAGUCUCACUGGGACUGAGACACGGCCCAG